AACAAGAGGGCAAUCUGAGGGUAGAGAGCUUAGGAGAGGAAAUGAAGCAGUCUGAGAGUCUGACAAGUCAAACAGGCUGACACCCAAGCAUCACGGACUGCCCACAUUAGUAAAACGCAGAAAAGCAGCCUGUCAUGUGAUGGUCCCUCCCUCCUUCUCCCUGGCUUGCAACUUACACAAUCCUGUGCUAGACUCAGUUGGUAAACAAGAAAAUUCAGGCUGGGAGAGGCCGCACUUACCCAAGGGAAUUGAAAUCGACACACCUGUGACUCACCGGCUCAGAAGCCAUCCUGUAAGGACUGGGAGACACUUCAUUUCCUACACAGAUGUAUCCAGACCCCAUCCAUCCCAUCCUGCUGUUGGUUGUGCAGACAGACAUUUGAUGCGCAGGGUCCCCUUUCCUAGGACCAGGAGGAUUCUGUUAUCAAUGGUUUCCCACAUGGACGUACAGGACUAGCUUUGGAUCUUUUCUGAGGACCAUGGCAGGCACUGAUGUGCAGCCGUAAAGAGAAGCCACUUUUCCUGUUGUUUUGGGCACCUACCACUUCUCAGCACUUUCUGCUGGGCAGCGGCGAAAUCCUUACUAGCCCCUUCUCGCUCCCUUGUUUCUAUACUCAAUUUGUCACCUCUCUCCUCCCUUGGCGCCCUUCCCGUGACCUCAGCUUGAGGGUCACCUGCUCACACCCCAUCCGAAUUCACUCCCUCGGUUGCACUUAGCUCAGAAUUCCCAAUUCUGGAUUUCUUUGUUUAUUCUGAGAAAUGCUGGUCUGUUUGUCUGUCUGUUUGUUUGUUUGUUUCUGUUUCUUUCAGUAAAACAGUGGUUCUCAACCUGUUGGAGAUGGAACAACCCUUUCACAGGGGUCACCUACGACCAUUGGAAAACACGGAUAUUUGCAUGACAACCCAUAACAGUAGCUAAAUUACAGUUAUGAAGUAGCAACAAAAAUAACGUGAUGGUUGGGGGUCAUAACAUUAUUAAAGGGUGGCAGCCUUGGGGAGGUUGAGAAGCCACUGCACUAGGGUAUGAUUCCUGAGGCCAAGGACAAGCCACAUUGGUGUGCUACGAGUAUUGAUUGGUCGGUAUUUUUCUUUUAAUGUUCCCCCAGGCCCUAACCCUAACAGUGAGGUAGAAAGGAAGGCUGUAAGCCAACUUGGCAACAUUUGCCUCAUAGCAAGGACUUCUUGCCUGUGACAUCCUGUCUUCUAGUUUUUCCCAAUCAUUUUGACCUGGAACUGCCUUCAAGGCUAUCCUUGCAAGGCUAGUGUCCUACACCUGUCCAGAAUCCCAAGGAAAAGGGAAGGUGGCAUCAAGUCAUUCUUGUUAAUGAAGUCCCAGGGUCAGUAUGCUGUAACCUUCGGCAGGUAGAGAAGUCUUUCGGAAGAGGGUAACUUACUAUAGCGGUUACUUUUAUCAUUCUUGUGACAAAACAACUGACAUGAAACAACCUAAGGAGGGCACGCUCUAUUUGGGCACAGGGUGUGAGGGCCAGAGAGACUGUUACCAUGGGAAGGCACAGCAGCAGGAUGGAGAGGCAGCUGGUCACGUGGCAUCCACAGUCAGGAGGCAGAGCUAGAUGAAUGCUGGUGCUCAGCUCACUUUCUCCUCUUUAUUCCGUCUGGGACACCAGCCCAGGAAUGAUACUGCCACAUUCAGCAUGGGCCUUCCCACCUCAGUCAAACCUCUCUGAAACACCUUUAUUGACACACCCAGAAGCGUGUUCCCACACGCUAAGUGCCCGCAAGUGUCCGCUUGGUUCGUAUCCAUGACUCUUGAGUCUAGAUGGCGGUGAGCAGAAGUGACUCUCCUUCUAGAGUAGAGAUUGCCUCUGAAACAUCCCCACCAAGUGGCCAUCUUCAUUACUGCCAGGACACCUCCAAGAACAAGCCCUAUCAUGGCUCCUGAGGACACCUUCCAGGUUUGGGUGGCGCUGGGCAUGACAGAGGUCUCUCAGAUACACUGGAUCUGGGCUCUUGUUUUUCUCUCCCACUGGGAGCCACAAGCAGACAUCUUCCAGAUGCCUGAGCACAGAAGCUGUUCCAAGCAGAGGACCCCUUCAUCCUCCCAAGCAUUCCUUAGCCUAGAAUAUGUUUGACCUGGUGUUGAGUUCCUCAAUAAGCCUCAUGCCCAAGAAUCCCAACUCCAUUGAAAGGAUGGUGUUGCAGGUGCUGGGUAAGGUUUUGAUAUAGAGAAUGGCGCAUUAUGAUUCUCUGAGCACAGAGAGCUCAUGUACUAGUGUGAGCCUGACCCGAAGGUCAACAUAGGCUGGUACAGGACAUCACACAAUCUCAGAGAUUGGGGGCAGUAUUGCCGAAAACAUGCACUUUUGAACACCUAGGGGAUAAUGAACAUUUUGUAUACUCAACUCUAAUUGUGCAAAUCUUAUGUUUUGUGUAAUUACUUUACACAGUGAGGGAUAAAAAGAAAUGGAUGACCCAACAGUGAUGCAUAUGCCUCAUGAGCAUGAGGACCUGAGUCCCGAUCUCCAGAACCAACAUAGAAACCCAGGCAUGAUGGCAUGUGUUUAGACCUUUGCUGUGAUUUGAGGUAAUGAUUUUUCCUGGACUUCAACCAAGUAACUGGACUGCAGCUGAAUAAUGAAAUUACCUGAUGAUCAGUUGUUAUCAGACCCCGGAGAGACGAAGAUGCUGUGGGGGUUAGGCACUUGUUGCAAACAGAUGUGAGAAGGGACCAUCAGAACAGGAAAAGAAGCCCACUGCACCCCUAGGACAGCUUGUUCCUGUGCAUCCUAUCACUUGGGGCUUGUUCUUGACUUUUAAAGUCAUGGAUGCUGUCGCUCAGUGGGGGAUGGGGUGAGAAAAGCCUAGGAAUCUGGGUUGAAGCUGAAGUGAGAAAUGUGGACACCAAAAUACUCGGUUUUCCUUUGCUACGGAGGCAGUCCCAAGUCUCCACAGCAGAACCCAAGGACUCUAGGAUACACAAUCAGAUAACGCCUGCUUGAAUCUGAACUCACAUUCGAGUGAAGUGAAGAACCCAGAAGUGACAACCCAUAACCAUACUCAUAAAGACAAUGAGUAUUGGUGCAUAACGUGUGUGGGAGAGGUGUGUGUUUAUUUUUUAUAAAACUAUGUUUGUUCCUCAAUUUCUCUCUUAACCCAGCUAUCACACAAACAAGUGAGACUCUAUUAUAUUUGUUUAAUAAUAAGCUUCACAGCACAGGAACGGAGCAGUUAUUGCUCUAUUCUUAACCCUCUAAGCCAAACUGGUUUCCUCCCUGUGUACAUCUCAGAAUUACUUGCACUUUGUAGCUGUCCUUGUGAGCUUUCUUUCCUGGUCCCUCCUGAACAUCUGUUGGUGGCUGAAUCCUCACACUGAAUCCUCUACUUCCUCUUCUAACUCCUCCUCCCCUGGCUGACAGGAAGUCCAGUCCUAUCCCCGCCCCUGCUCAGCAACUGGCUAUAAGCUGCUUUACUGGCAUAUCAGGGCACAACUGGGGAACAGUGUUUACACAACAAUACAACAGGAUAGUCUCCAUUGAGGGACAUCUGGGCUGUUUCCAGGUUCUGGAUAUUAGGACUAAGGCUGCUACAAACUUGGUUGAGCAAAUGUCCUUGUUGUGUUCUUGAGCAUAUUUUGGAUAUAUGUCUAGGAGUGGUAUAGCUGCGUAUUGAGGAAGCGCUAUUCCUAAUUGUCUGAGAAAGCGCCAGAUUGGUUUCCAAAGUGGUUGUACAAAUUUAUAUUCCCACCAGCAAUGGAGAAGGGUUCUCCUUUCUCCACAUCCUCUCCUA